ACAGGAUCAUGAAACUACAAAGUUUCAGAGUUGGAAUCGGUACAUAGUGCUUCCAAUUUCAAGAAUCUUUGCAUUGAAGAUUUCUUCAUUAAAAAAAAUGGUAUUGUUGCAUUGGAUCUAUUCUUCCCUUCUGCAACUACAAUCCAUCACCUUAAUUUGUUGUAGGUAUUCAAUAGUUUUUUUUUUUUGUGUGUGUAUGUGUGUGUGUGUAUGUGUGUGUCAGAGAGAGACAGAGAGACACACAGAGAGAGGCAGAGACAGAGACAGAGAUAGACAGAAACAAUGAGAAACAGAGAGAGGGAGAGAGAAAGAGAAAGAGAAAGAGAAAGAGAGAGAGAGAGAAAUUGGAAGAGGAAGCUUUGAAAACUUAUAAAUUUGAUAAGUUGUAUGGACAGACAAGAAUAUAAAAUAUUUUAACAAUGUUGUCUUUAUGCAGGAAGUCAUAAUCAGUGACUAAACUAAAGAAAUGAAUACAAGAAAAGAUUCUUUUUAGUUAAAAUCCAGAACAAAGCUUGAAAAUCACUCAAAGUAUCCUCAGCUGUUCUUCCUUAUCUCCAUCCUCCAAGGAUAUUGUUUAAAUUUCACAUCCCUCUAUUCUUGGUAACCUGCAAAAGUUUCUCAAGUAGCUCUCAACUGUACUUUUAAAAAUUAUUUUAAUUCAUAAUCAUUAUUAAUUAGUAAUGGGUGUAUCAUCACCAAUCAAUAAAAAUAGCUGCUGAUAUUUUCUAUGUGGAACAAAUUUCAAGCCUUUGAUGGUACUCUUGAGAUUUUAUGAAGUCAGCACUACUCGUUUUAUUACUGAAAUGAUAAUCACAUCUCUAAAGGAAGAGAGAAUCUUGAAUCUAUAAAUACCUUAUGUCUUCCUCUUCUCAUCUCCAUUCUCUGAGUGGCAGAUCCCAGCUUUACCGCACAGUGGCAGAGUCCAGACUGGUGAGGGUCUUCCUCCUUAUGAUUCUGAAUCAGGUCCUUAGAGGUAGAGCUUCAUCUCACUUCCUGGAAGUAAAAAGGGAAGCACAGAGAGAUCAAAAUCCUCUUUUUGCUGCAAAUAGGGAAGGCAGGCUGGUUUUUUUCAUCAGAAUCCUAGCUAGGUAAUGUCUUUGUUAUCUGCUACUAGGCCAAGUCCCCUUUGCUGCAUAUAUGGGCUAGUGAAGUGUCCCCAGAUCUAAUCUUUUUGAUUUAAGUGAUCCUUCUAAUCUUUGUAUGUAUUUUUGUCAGACAGCUUCCAAAUCCCGAUCACCAUUUUUAUCACAAACUUUUUGUUUCAUAAAUUCAUAGAGCACAGGAUCAGGAGGGAAUGUUUCCUGUAUUCUAUUUGUAAUUCUUGUUGAUUGAUAGAUAAGAGAAUUGUAAGUGACCUGAGAACUCCUGUAACUGAAUCCUCAGAAGGAGGAAAGAAAAACAAUACAGGUGGCCUCCAUCACUUCAGCAAAAUGAAAUGUAAAAUCCUUUCUACUUUGCAAUUCUUGAGUAGAUAGCAUCUGCAACAAGUAUAAACUUUCUAAAUGUUCACUUUUCCUUUUCUUUCUUUAAACAAAGAUUAUUGUAUUUCCUAGAGGUAUUAUUUUGCUUUCUGGUGGCUAAAACCUUUCCCCUACUUUGGUUUUCCCUACUUUGAAAGAUAUUAGUAUUGGAAUAGAAUCUUCAUAUAAUACUGCUUAUUGGCUAUGUAUCCUUCUCUGAAAGGGCUCAUUACUGGGGUCCAAUUUCUACUUAAAGAAAGACAUAUUCUUGGAUUGGAAAGUUGUUAAGGGACAGGUCAAUUCUUUGAGAGCCUCCACAGCUGUGGAUCAUAGCAUCUGAAGGAGUUGCAGGCAGCCUUUUCUGACACAGGUGUUGCAGACUGGGAAUGAGAUAAAUUGGGGGCAGAGGGAGGAGGAGAGAGGUCAGACAAGGCAACGGCCUCUCAGGAGAGAGGUCAGAGAACAGCAACUGUCUGUCAGUUUCCUUGUGUAUCAUCUUCUCACAAGAUGAGAUCCAUUCUAGGUUGGAACUCCAGCAGCCACUGUCAGGUGGCUCCUGUGUGUCCCAGCAGCUCUCCCGUGUAUUCCAACAUAUGGCACCUGAACGUGGGGUAAGAAUUACAAGAAGAACCAGAGCUGUUCAUGAGAAGGAUCCUUCUAGAAUUAAGGAAGAAGAGUCCUGGUAAGAAUUUUUUAUUUGGGGAAAUUAAAUGGACCAACAAAUCAAAGGGCCGAGCCAGGAGACUGAUGAGAGACUUAAAUGCUUGUUCUGACCACAGCCCUCUUCUCUGUUUGAAAGUCUGCCUCCAAGAGAUUUCACAAGAUCAAUACCUGCUACAACCAUCCAGAAGGGGCAGUGCCCCUUGCAUUUCUCAGUGCACUGGUGUGUGUGUGUGUGUGUGUGUGUGUGUGAGAAAUAACAGCAAAAAACAAACAAACAAAAAAACCAGGGAAUUGUUAAGGGACAGGUCAAUUCCUCGAGAGCCUCCCCAGAUGUGCAUCACAGCAUCUGAAGGAGUUGCAGGGCAGCCUUUGCUGACUUGGGGACUGGGAAUGAGAUAAGUUGGAGGCAGAUGGAAGAGGAGGGAGGUGAGACAAUGCAAUGGUCUCAGUCAGAGUUGUUGGAGAACAGCAACUGUCUCGGUUUCCUUGUCUCAUCCCCUCAUAAGAGGAGAUCUAUUCUGGCGGCUGAAGAUCCAAUCCACUGUCAGGUGGCUCCCGUGUAUUCCAACAGAAAGUCACUUCCUAGUGAGGGACACCCUAAGUAGUUUCAAAUAAAUAUGUAGGUUUCUUUUCAGUUAAUCUCUGAAACUAUUCACUUCCAGUUAGACUGAAUUAGUAGAUGAGAUUCUACCUUGUUUCUCCUGGAACCAUAAUUAAAAUUUCUCCAAAAAUUUAGAAAUGUGAUGAUUACAACUUUCCUGAGGUCACAGAGUGAUGGAAAUGAAACAGCACAUUGGAGUGGAAUCACAAAGAAAUCAGAGGAUUUUGGGGAAAUGGAAAGCUUCCAUUCCAAUCUCUCCAGAUAGCACCAACAAAUUAGAUGCCUUCCCUGCCCCCCUUUCUCAAUGCCCCUUUACUUGUGAUGUAAUCUCCUGUAUAAGAGCUGUGUAUUUUUACUACUUCUUUAGCCCUCCUACCACAAGCUUUCUCUUUCCCUUAUGUUGUGAUAGGACUAAUCCUCUAGAGGUUUUAAUAAACAAUCUUUCUG
rnacentral:lncRNA from 1 species